UACCACAUCCAAGGAUGGCAGCAGGCGCGCAAAUUACCCACUCCCAGCUUGGGGAGGUAGUGACGAAAAAUAACAAUGCGGGACUCUAAGAGGCCCCGUAAUUGGAAUGAGUACACCUUAAAUCGUUUAACGAGUAUCAAUUGGAGGGCAAGUCUGGUGCCAGCAGCCGCGGUAAUUCCAGCUCCAAUAGCGUAUAUUAAAGUUGCUGCAGUUAAAAAGCUCGUAGUUGGAUCUGGGGCUUGAGGUCGCUGUCUAUCGUUUCGGCGAUGACGGUGAUGCUCAGCUCUGCUUGCCGGUGACUGUUGCGGUGUUCUUCACUGAGCGCUGUAGCAGCACGGCACAUUUACUUUGAAAAAAUUAGAGUGCUCAAAGCGUGCUUGUCGCUUGAAUAAUGUUGCAUGGAAUAAUGGAAUAGGACCUCGGUUCUAUUUUGUUGGUUUUCGGAGCUUGAGGUAAUGAUUAAGAGGGACGAACGGGGGCAUUCGUAUUGCGGUGUUAGAGGUGAAAUUCUUGGAUCGCCGCAAGACGGACUACUGCGAAAGCAUUUGCCAAGAACGCUUUCAUUAAUUAAGAACGAAAGUCAGAGGUUCGAAGACGAUCAGACACCGUCCUAGUUCUGACCAUAAACGAUGCCGACCAGCGAUCCGUAGUGGUUGCUUUAUGGACCCUACGGGCAGCCUCCGGGAAACCAAAGUAUUUGGGUUCCGGGGGAAGUAUGGUUGCAAAGCUGAAACUUAAAGGAAUUGACGGAAGGGCACACCAGGAGUGGAGCCUGCGGCUUAAUUUGACCCAACACGGGAAAACUCACCCGGUCCGGACACCGUAAGGAUUGACAGACUGAUAGCUCUUUCUUGAUUCGGUGGAUGGUGGUGCAUGGCCGUUCUUAGUUGGUGGAGUGAUUUGUCUGGUUAAUUCCGAUAACGAACGAGACUCUAGCCUGCUAAGUAGUGUUGCUAUUGUUAUAUGGUUGACACUUCUUAGAGGGACAAGUGGCAUUUAGCCACGCGAAAUUGAGCAAUAACAGGUCUGUGAUGCCCUUAGAUGUCCGGGGCCGCACGCGCGCUACACUGGAGAAGUCAGCGUGUGUUAUCCAAGUCCGAAAGGACUGGGUAAUCCGUUGAACCUUCUUCGUGCUUGGGACUGUGGCUUGGAACUAUUCCACAUGAACGAGGAAUUCCUAGUAAUUGCAAGUCAUAAGCUUGCGUUGAUUACGUCCCUGCCCUUUGUACACACCGCCCGUCUCUACUACCGAUUGAAUGGUUUAGCAAGGUCCUCGGAUCGUGGCCGUGGGGGCACGCAAGUGUUUCUGCGGUUUGCGAGAAGACGACCAAACUUGAUCAUUUAGAGGAAGUAAAAGUCGUAACAAGGUU
rnacentral:rRNA from 1 species